rnacentral:rRNA from 1 species
GAUGAACGCUGGCGGCGUGCCUAAUACAUGCAAGUCGAGCGAACAGAUGAGGAGCUUGCUCCUCUGACGUUAGCGGCGGACGGGUGAGUGACACGUGGAUAACCUACCUAUAAGACUGGGAUAACUUCGGGAAACCGGAGCUAAUACCGGAUAAUAUAUUGAACCGCAUGGUUCAAUAGUGAAAGACGGUUUUGCUGUCACUUAUAGAUGGAUCCGCGCCGCAUUAGCUAGUUGGUAAGGUAACGGCUUACCAAGGCGACGAUGCGUAGCCGACCUGAGAGGGUGAUCGGCCACACUGGAACUGAGACACGGUCCAGACUCCUACGGGAGGCAGCAGUAGGGAAUCUUCCGCAAUGGGCGAAAGCCUGACGGAGCAACGCCGCGUGAGUGAUGAAGGUCUUCGGAUCGUAAAACUCUGUUAUUAGGGAAGAACAAAUGUGUAAGUGACUAUGCACGUCUUGACGGUACCUAAUCAGAAAGCCACGGCUAACUACGUG